rnacentral:sRNA from 1 species
GUGAGGGAGGGGGUGACUAGUGACAGAGGGAGGGGGUAACACAGUGACAGAGUAAGGGGGUGACUAGUGACAGAGUGAGGGAGUGGGUGACACAGUGACAGAGUUAGGGAGGGAGUAACUAGUGACAGAGAGAGGGAUGGGGUGACUAGUGACAGUCACCCCCCCUCACUCUGUCACCAGUCAUCCCCUCACUCUGUCACUAGUCACCCCUUCCCUCCCUCACUCUGCCACUAGUCACCCAUUCCCUCACUCUGUCACUAGUCACCCAUUCCCUCACUCUGUCACUAGUCUCCCAUUCCCUCCCUCUGUCACUAGUCUCCCCCUCUCCUUCCCUCUGUCACUAGUCACCCACUCCCUCAC